AGUGAACGCUGGCGGUAGGCCUAACACAUGCAAGUCGAACGGCAGCACAGUAAGAGCUUGCUCUUACGGGUGGCGAGUGGCGGACGGGUGAGGAAUACAUCGGAAUCUACUUUUUCGUGGGGGAUAACGUAGGGAAACUUACGCUAAUACCGCAUACGACCUACGGGUGAAAGCAGGGGAUCUUCGGACCUUGCGCGAUUGAAUGAGCCGAUGUCGGAUUAGCUAGUUGGCGGGGUAAAGGCCCACCAAGGCGACGAUCCGUAGCUGGUCUGAGAGGAUGAUCAGCCACACUGGAACUGAGACACGGUCCAGACUCCUACGGGAGGCAGCAGUGGGGAAUAUUGGACAAGGGGCGCAAGCCUGAUCCAGCCAUACCGCGUGGGUGAAGAAGGCCUGCGGGUUGUAAAGCCCUUUUGUUGGGAAAGAAAAGCAGCAGGUUAAUACCCCGCUGUUCGGACGGUACCCAAAGAAUAAGCACCGGCUAACUUCGU
rnacentral:rRNA from 1 species